UCUGCUCUUGCAAAGCGCGAUAGCUGGUCAGCUGUCUGCCGCGUCGCGUCACGAAGCGGCGCCUUGUCGAGCGGGCGAGAUUAUCGGUUGCACAGAGCGACGGCUUUGUGAGCGCGCUUGUUUGGGUGGGCGGCACUGUUUCUGCAUGAACGGCCAAGUGUGCUAUUCCUCGGGAGCUGGGACACGGAGUGCUAGUUUGCGCCCGAUGCCGUCUACCACGAUGUGUCUACCGGCAACACUAAGGUGUCUCCCAACCGUCGAGACUGUUCCAUCCUUUCUUCCGAGUGGUGCAGGAAGCCUGGUCGCAAGUCUUUCCCGAGAACAAAAGCUGUCUACGUGGCCUCCGUGUUGACAAUUGAUGUACAUGACGCCCUGGUGCGGCCCAGGAAAAGUCUGUGUCAGCGGCCAUCCUAGACGAUAACUGCGCGGACGACACGAAGCUUUGGCCAGAGCAUCCCGGGACAUGUCAUUAUACAGGACAAGAUCGGAUUGGCACGGGGGUCGAGAGCUAACAGCAAACGCCACUGUUCCCUCACGGCGACGUCCGGCGAGACUCCAACGCGUAACAAAUCUCACUCCACUCGAGAGUGGCACUCGGCUCACGGUGGUUCGGUGGAUCCGGUUCUCCAGGCGGCAGCGUUGGGGCUUAUAAAGCCCCGAGAAACGAUUGUCACUCAAACGGCCCAAUACAAAGCCAGCACUCGACGGUCAUCCGAGAGGUCCAACCAGCAACCGCACUGGCCACCCGCUUCAAGUUUGCCACGCACGGUGACCUCCAGGGGAAAGGAAAUACGGCGCCGGGCUGUCUAGCACUUUGUUGCACGUUUGGACAUGUCUCUUGCCGAUGCUCCUCCUCAAUACGCCACUCUCUGGCGGCGCAGCAUCUUGACUUGUGAAGGGAGCGUUAGGACGUUGUGCCUUUCGGCGCAGCCCCGCGUUUGUCCAGAGGGUGUUCGCAUGAUAAAUUCUGCGGCUUGUAGGU